CGGUGUUCAACUGGCGUGUCCGCGGGACGUCCUGCCGGUGGGCUUAGCCCGCAAGGGCGGCCCAACUUCAAAUCCCAUCGCGGUGCUCUUCACUGAGUGUCGAGGUGGGCCGGCACGUUUACUUUGAACAAAUUAGAGUGCUUAAAGCAGGCUAAAACUUCGCCUGAAUACUGUGUGCAUGGAAUAAUGGAAUAGGACCUCGGUUCUAUUUUGUUGGUUUUCGGAACCCCGAGGUAAUGAUUAAUAGGAACGGAUGGGGGCAUUCGUAUUGCGACGUUAGAGGUGAAAUUCUUGGAUCGUCGCAAGACGGACAGAAGCGAAAGCAUUUGCCAAAAACGCUUUCAUUGAUCAAGAACGAAAGUUAGAGGUUCGAAGGCGAUCAGAUACCGCCCUAGUUCUAACCAUAAACGAUGCCAGCUAGCGAUCCGUCGACGUUCCUCCGAUGACUCGACGGGCAGCUUCCGGGAAACCAAAGCUUUUGGGUUCCGGGGGAAGUAUGGUUGCAAAGCUGAAACUUAAAGGAAUUGACGGAAGGGCACCACCAGGAGUGGAGCCUGCGGCUUAAUUUGACUCAACACGGGAAACCUCACCAGGCCCGGACACCGGAAGGAUUGACAGAUUGAGAGCUCUUUCUUGAUUCGGUGGGUGGUGGUGCAUGGCCGUUCUUAGUUGGUGGAGCGAUUUGUCUGGUCAAUUCCGAUAACGAACGAGACUCUAGCCUGCUAACUAGGCGUAUUUUCGACAUCUCAAAGGUCCGUCGUCCCGGCCCUCGGGUCGUGGGCGUGCGCGAUUUUUACUGUCGGCGUACUAUCAAUUCUUCUUAGAGGGACAGGUGGCUUCUAGCCGCACGAGAUUGAGCAAUAACAGGUCUGUGAUG
rnacentral:rRNA from 1 species